UACUCUUCCACUUUGAAGUCACGGACGCACCGCUCAAUCCCACCUCCCAAGCUCUGCUUGAAGAACCCUAAAUUUGAAGCCCUAAUCGACAAAAAAAAUCCUAGAAUUUCAAUCAGAUUAAAAACUCUAGGGACCAUCUCAUCGACAUCUUCGAUGCUCGUUCGAAGGCUUUGCACCCCUCUCACCCGUUCAGACCUCCACCUUCUCCGCCUUUACCCAAAAUCCUCAAAGCCUAUUUCAAUUUCCAAUUGCAGGAAACCUUUUUACAUCAAAACCCCAAAACCCUCAGCCAUUCGAUACAUCUCGUCCACUUCCAAAAUGGGAGAUGCCCGGAGGCCUCCCGCUGUCCCCAUUCCCCCCGUCGAUACAGAAAACCGGUCGGAGUUGCUCAGAGCCCUCGAGGCCACAUUGGGUUCUUCUUUUAGCUCGGAGCCACUGUCUCCACCGCCGAAACCGAUAAUCAUAGUGAUUAGCGGACCGAGCGGGGUGGGCAAAGAUGCAGUGAUCAAGAAAUUGAGGGAAGCAAGGGAGGGUAUUCAUUUUGUGGUGACGGCGACCAGCCGGGCUAAGCGGGAGGGUGAAGUUGAGGGGAAAGAUUACUAUUUUGUCAGCAAAGAGGAGUUUCUAGGGAUGAUAUCAAGGAAUGAACUUCUGGAGUAUGCUCUGGUGUAUGGGGAUUAUAAGGGCAUUCCGAAACAGCGGAUUCGAGAGUACAUGACGAUGGGGUAUGAUAUUGUAUUGAGAGUGGACAUACAAGGGGCAUCUACAUUGAGGAAGAUUUUUGGAGAUUCCGCGGUGUUUAUUUUUCUUGUCGCGGAGAGUGAAUUGGCGCUUGUGAAGCGGUUGAUUGAUAGGAAGACUGAGACGAAGGAGACACUUCUUGUGAGGAUUGCGACAGCUAGAGAAGAGAUGAAUCAUAUGAAGAAUUUUGAUUAUGUGGUUGUGAAUGCGGAGGGGAAGCUUGAGGACGCCGUUAAGUUGGUGGAAUCAAUCAUUGAUGCAGAGAAGGCUAAAGUUCGGCAAAGAAGUGCUGUGGUGUAAUUAGGGGUUGACGCUGACUUUUUGAAUGAGGUAAUAAAAGGGCUUGCAUUAGAAGCAUCUAAAAGACGGCGAAACAAGUACACAUGAGAGAAUGGGGAUGCAUCAGUUGGAAAGGAGGAUUGAAAUUGUGACACGAGAUUUGCCAAAAACUUGAACCUUUGAGACGUGGAUGGUUGUUUUCUGUUUUCUGCAUGGGUGGUGUGAGGUUGUUGUAUUCUUGAUUCAUGGAACAAGGGGCUGAAGAGGUAGUAUUCACAAUUUUUAUAUCCAAAUGGAUAUCUUAAAUUAAUUACUUUUA